UUUUUUUUUUUUUUAUUUUUUUUUUGUUUGUUUCUGUUGGUUUGGUUUUUUGCCUAAACUAACAUGGUUCUUAGGGAAGCUCAGCACUGACUUACAGCCAAUAGGGCCUUUCUGGGUAGCAGCCAGAUGACAAUAUCUCCUCGCAAAAGAGGUUUCCCUUUUCAGAUAUCUCUGCGUUAUUUAUAGUCAAAAAGCAAUGCAUACAAAAGCUCAGGAGAAAAGGGAGGGGCAGCAUCAAGCAUCUUGAGAUUUUAUUAAAUUACUGCCUGACAGAGAAAUAGUUGCCAAAGUCUUUUUGAUUGGUUUUAAAAUCUUUCUAUUAUAGGCAAAAAUGUCCAUUAGUUAAAGAUCUGUCAGCCCAGAGAUAAGGAAAAGGCUUUAAUUUCUAAAUAGAAAGGCACUUAGUAUUUAAACCACCUGCAGUGUACUUGCUUCUAGAAUAUGAUGGGGGAUUUGUUUGCUUUUGGUUUUUUGGGAGGGGACUGAGGAGGGAAGUGUUAGCUUACUUUAGAAAGAAUGCCUAGGAUAGAAAAACAGCUGGAGUAGAAAUACAGUGGGGGCAGAAUUGUGGUUCCAUGGGAGAGCCAGGAAAUUUCAGUGGAACAGCUCCCUUGCUUUAAAUUUAGCAGCUGCUGACGCACAUAGCAGAAUUCUCUCAAAGCACACUGGUUUUUUGUCUUGAUUUUUCGAGAAAAUAUAGCUCAUGUUAAUGUGCCUCUUCUGCCUCCUAUUCCUUCUAAGCCAUGAAGGCUGCAAUUGAUCGAAGCCUUCAAUUGGUUGAUUCUAAUCCAGUUUGCUACAAGCCUUAAAACACUGCAGCAAAUUGCACUGAUUGUUCAGUUAUCCAGGGAAAAGAGCUGUCCUCUCUCCAGAGGCUGUGAUGGACAGUAAGGGUAAUCAGGUCCACCCAGAUUUUGCUAGUAAUUGAACUAAAUAAAGCUCUUCCCUAGCCAGCUCUUUGGCCAGUGAGGUUUAAAACCCUGGUGACAUCUUAAGUGUAUUCAAUUUAGAUCUGCCUGAGAAUUUUGUAUAUUAUUUAUGAGGAUGGAUUGAUUUUUCUUUUCUAUGAGGGAAUCAUAUAACAUGUAUCCCUCCUUCCCUAUCAUAUGUACUUCUGGUAAAAUAGUUCCUACAUAAAUACCAAUGCAUCACUGUCCGAAGAAUUGUACAGUUUUAAAAGACUGCCUCAUUUUGUAGUUCCUUACUUUACCAGGGUAACAAAAAAUUAAUGGAGAGGAAAAAAAAAAACAAAACCAACCUGAAUACACAGAAAAUUCACAACUAACUUUCCUGCUUGCUGUUGACAGUCCAUUACAGUAUAAGGUUAAGUCCUCCAGCUACUUCCCUACUGUCUUCCAGUUACAUGUUAUACAGAUAUUAUUUAACCUUGUCCCAAAACAUGUUAAAACUGAGAAGGCAAAAAAGCACGGAGAUGGGUAGUAACAUCAUCUUACUUUGUCUCAGAACAUAGUUCACAUAAUUGCUCUUUCCUGGCCUAUACUUGAAAAAUCAGAAUUCUUACAUAAUUUAUGUCCAUCUUUUUCUUCCACAGGAUGAGGUUUUCAUUUUCAUAAGACAUUUAAACACCCUCUCCCCAGCAAGCUGGAUAAGAAAAAAGAUUACAGCAGAUUUUGGGUUCAUAAAUUCAAAACUGUGAUCACAAACAUGUGAUUCUGCUAAGCAAUUUUUGGGCUCUGAUGAUUCUGUUAACUCCAGAGAUGAUUUUAGGGUUCAUUGCCAAAGACUUAAAUGCUCUCCAGACAGCAUGCUGGCUUUAGAUCUGGUUCUAAGGGUGAGAUUAUAACAGAGUUCUGAAUUAUUGCUAGUGCUGUCAGUCUAGCAGGGGGGGAGUGUUUAUAGUUAGGCACCAGUGGAAUUAUUUCUCUGGAGUAUGUGAUCUCCUGUGAUCCAUCCUACAUCAACCAUUUUCCACAAGGCUGUCCCUAUUCAAGCAAGCCUGUGCCCCAUAUCUUAUCAGUAAUUUGUAUGUCCUUGUUUAUAUCAAAGGUUAUCUACUGCUUUCUCUUGAUGAAGUUGUCCCUGCUUCUGUCUCUGUUCUCCAUCUCCCUUCUCCCACAACUAUGAAGAUAUCAGUAUUUCCAUCCAUUCCCUCAAGAAGAUUGAAUGAGGCUAUACCUUUCAGCAGGGAAAAGGAAGAGUGGGAGAUGGGCCUCAGACAAAGCAAGGUUUAUUCAGAAAUUUCCUAUUGGAAUUAAAAGGCUACAAAAGUUUGUUUAAAUUCUGAGCCAGUUGGAAAAUACCACAGCAGUAAAUAUUUCUAACCUUUAAAAUAAACAAAAAAAAAUACAAUAUGCACGCUGAACUCAGAAUGAGGUCCAUCUUUAUAUUUCAUGACAGCAAGUUUUUAUUUAUUUAAACUAAGCUGAAAAAUUUAGGAUUACUACUUCUGUUUCAAAACUGGAGAAUAAAAGUUAUAUUUCAAUUUCCCAGAUGCAUUCACUGCAUCAGGGAAAAGCAGUAAAUCCAAGAAGCUGAAAGUGAAACAGUCUCAUAAAAUGUCAUCUGACUCCAUUGAGCUGCCUUAUCUCAGGGUCUAACACAACUUUGGGCAUUUACUAGAACACUGUCAAGCCUCUGAACAGCUGCAAAAGAGCUCACAUGGUUUCCCAUCCCAAAGCUGCUGUAAAACAUUUCAGUGGUGACACAAAGGUACACCUUAAAUUAAUCAGUGGGUAAGGAAGAAAACACUUGGAAAAACAAUUCUCCCCUCAGUUUUGGGAAAAACUUCUGCAUAGAAGCAGCCUUGCUUGGUGCUGAGGGAGAAAGAGGGUCGGACAAAAAAGCCUCCAACCCUGAGAUCAGUUCAGCUGCUGCAAAGUCAGUCUGGCAAAUUUCCAUGGAUAUGGUUUGUACUGAGGCUGCCCAAGGGCCAGUGUUGAAUCUACUCUGCUAAAAAAUCCUGCAAUUUCUUCUUGUCCAACGCUGCCUUCCCACUGCCUGUGCCAAUGCCAGUCUGCUGUGAGUCCUGGAAAUAAAACAGCACUACAGAUCAAACUCUGUAGGAAGUUGCUCUAAUACCUAGGACGGGGCCAAGAACGCACCAGGGGAAGAGCUUCACCCCACUGGAACAAAAAGAGGACUAAGUGCAAUUUAUGGGCCCAGUGGUAACAGCCUGGCCUCCAAUCAGUAGCACAUGCAUUACUGAUGUGCCCAUAUUGCCACUCCUGCAUUUAGUUUUGCAAAACACUAGUUAUGACCUGCCAAACUCCAGUGCCCAUGUACAGGCAGCAUGGCACACUUCAAAUGCCCUGGGCCUGUACUCUGUGGCCAACAGGCCCAGAGACACUGUUCAAACUACAGAGGGAAAAGCCUGAAUGUAGUGCACAGCCCAGCCACAUCUCUCAUGUUAGUGCAGAAAUGAGCAUUUGAGAACAGACGAUUUUUGCACUUGGAACUGAGCCC
ensembl:lncRNA